rnacentral:rRNA from 1 species
AGGAUCAUUAUCGUAGGGCUUCGGUCCUGUCGAGAUAGCGUCCUUGCCUUUUUUUUUAGAGCACCGUUUGUUUCCUCAGCAGGCCUGCCUGCUACUGGGGACCCUUAAAACUCUUUGUAAAUACAGUAUCUGUCUGAAAAAAACAAACAAAAAAUCAAAACUUUCAACAAUGGAUCUCUUGGUUCUGGCAUCGAUGAAGAACGCAGCAAAAUGCGAUAAGUAGUGUGAAUUGCAGAAUUCAGUGAAUCAUCGAAUCUUUGAACGCACAUUGCGCCCUUUGGUAUUCCUUAGGGCAUGCCUGUUCGAGCGUCAUUUUCACCUUCAAGCACAGCUUGGUGUUGGGUGUCUGUCCUGCCGUCGGCAUGGACUCGCCUUAAAAUAAUUGGCAGCCACUUCAGCGGCUUUGAGCGCAGCAGAAUUGCGUCUCUGGCAGCAGAAAGUGGCCUCCACAAGCUUUACUUUUAUAUUUUGACCUCGGAUCAGGUAGGGAUACCCGCUGAACUUAAGCAUAUCAAUAAGCGGAGGAAAAGAAACCAACAGGGAUUGCCCUAGUAACGGCGAGUGAAGCGGCAACAGCUCAAAUUUGAAAUCUGGCCCUUUUGGGGGUCCGAGUUGUAAUUUGUAGAGGGUGCUUUGGCGUUGGCUGUGGUCUAAGUUCCUUGGAACAGGACGUCGCAGAGGGUGAGAAUCCCGUAUGUGGCCGCCAGUCUUCGCCGUGUAAAGCCCCUUCGACGAGUCGAGUUGUUUGGGAAUGCAGCUCUAAAUGGGAGGUAAAUUUCUUCUAAAGCUAAAUAUUGGCCAGAGACCGAUAGCGCACAAGUAGAGUGAUCGAAAGAUGAAAAGCACUUUGGAAAGAGAGUCAAAAAGCACGUGAAAUUGUUGAAAGGGAAGCGCUUGCAGCCAGACUUGCUUGUAGUUGCUUAGCUGGGCUUCUGCCCGGUGUACUCUUCUGCACGCAGGCCAGCAUCGGUCCGGGCGGUUGGAUAAAGGCCUAUUAAACGUACCUCUCCUCGGGGAGGACUUAUAGGGUAGGCGACAUGCAACCAGCC